AGUGAACGCUGGCGGUAGGCCUAACACAUGCAAGUCGAACGGCAGCACAGUAAGAGCUUGCUCUUACGGGUGGCGAGUGGCGGACGGGUGAGGAAUACAUCGGAAUCUACUUUUUCGUGGGGGAUAACGUAGGGAAACUUACGCUAAUACCGCAUACGACCUACGGGUGAAAGCAGGGGAUCUUCGGACCUUGCGCGAUUGAAUGAGCCGAUGUCGGAUUAGCUAGUUGGCGGGGUAAAGGCCCACCAAGGCGACGAUCCGUAGCUGGUCUGAGAGGAUGAUCAGCCACACUGGAACUGAGACACGGUCCAGACUCCUACGGGAGGCAGCAGUGGGGAAUAUUGGACAAUGGUCGCAAGCCUGAUCCAGCCAUACCGCGUGGGUGAAGAAGGCCUUCGGGUUGUAAAGCCCUUUUGUUGGGAAAGAAAAGCAGCAGGUUAAUACCCCGCUGUUCUGACGGUACCCAAUGAAUAAGCACCGGCUAACUUCGUG
rnacentral:rRNA from 1 species